UACGUAGGGUGCAAGCGUUAAUCGGAAUUACUGGGCGUAAAGCGUGCGCAGGCGGUUUUGUAAGUCUGUCGUGAAAUCCCCGGGCUCAACCUGGGAAUUGCGAUGGAGACUGCAAGGCUAGAAUCUGGCAGAGGGGGGUAGAAUUCCACGUGUAGCAGUGAAAUGCGUAGAGAUGUGGAGGAACACCGAUGGCGAAGGCAGCUUACUGGACCUUAUCUGACGCUGAGGCGCGAAAGCGUGGGUAGCAAACAGG
rnacentral:rRNA from 1 species